rnacentral:rRNA from 1 species
GAUGAACGCUGGCGGCGUGCCUAAUACAUGCAAGUCGAGCGAACAGACGAGGAGCUUGCUCCUCUGACGUUAGCGGCGGACGGGUGAGUAACACGUGGAUAACCUACCUAUAAGACUGGGAUAACUUCGGGAAACCGGAGCUAAUACCGGAUAAUAUAUUGAACCGCAUGGUUCAAUAGUGAAAGACGGUUUUGCUGUCACUUAUAGAUGGAUCCGCGCCGCAUUAGCUAGUUGGUAAGGUAACGGCUUACCAAGGCGACGAUGCGUAGCCGACCUGAGAGGGUGAUCGGCCACACUGGAACUGGGACACGGUCCAGACUCCUACGGGAGGCAGCAGUAGGGAAUCUUCCGCAAUGGGCGAAAGCCUUACGGAGCAACGCCGCGUGAGUGAUGAAGGUCUUCGGAUCGUAAAACUCUGUUAUUAGGGAAGAACAAAUGUGUAAGUAACUGUGCACGUCUUGACGGUACCUAAUCAGAAAGCCACGGCUAACUACGUG